rnacentral:rRNA from 1 species
GAUGAACGCUGACAGAAUGCUUAACACAUGCAAGUCAACUGUGGCGGACGGGUGAGUAACGCGUAAAGAACUUGCCUCACAGAUAGGGACAACAUUUGGAAACGAAUGCUAAUACCUGAUACUGUGAGAGAGCUUUGCGUCCCAUUAGCUAGUGGGAGAGGUAACGGCGCACCAAGGCGAUGAUGGGUAGCCGGCCUGAGAGGGUGAUCGGCCACAAGGGGACUGAGACACGGCCCUUACGCCUACGGGAGACAGCAGUGGGGAAUAAUGGACAAUGGACCAAAUUCUGAUCCGGCAAUACUGUGUGCACGUUGAAGUUUUCGGAAUGUAAAGUGCUUUCAGUUGGGAAGCUGUACCAACAGAAGAAGUGACGGCUAAAUACGUGCCAGCAGCCGCGGUAAUA